UGUCAUCGCCGCCGUUUCCCGCGCCAUUCGCGUGCACGCGCGUGAGAGGGGACCAGGCACGCAACCGUUAGGAGACUGUCUGGAGUCUGUCUCAAAUUGAUAAAUUUGGAAAUGGAGUUUUACGGGUCUCUGUGCAUCUACAAGGAAGCCGCCUGCUGGGAAAUUUGGAUCUUUGCGCUCCUCCUCAGACGUCGCUUCGCCUUGAGUCGCCACGCAUUGACGAAAUGUUUAUUUUUCUUCUUUAGAAAACAAAAAACCCAAAGUUUUUUUCCCCCCCUCUCUUCUGCAGUCCAUCAGCAGGCAGACAGCUCCUUGUGCCCAGGGAGUUGUUCCUCACCCAUGGAGUUCAAGAUGAGUGCAUCAUGCACGAGGCAGCCUAUAAAAGCACAUAAAGCCGCUGACACUGACAGUUAUGAUUUCCUGUCAACAAAUGUGCAGAGAGAGCUGUGUUGGUGGACUAGGAGGAAGAUGUCACACUAAGGAUGGGGUUUUUUGGCGAUGAUGUUGGUGCUGUUGAUGCAGCAUCGAGCUCUCACUUUGUGCCUCUGUCAGCUAUGAUCCGUAACCAUAAAGUGAGUGACAGGCCAUUCUCCGGGGGGAAAGCAGAGGUCUGAGAAGGAAGAGGAGGAAAGCAACAUGGAUGUGGCUGAGCUCGCUGACUGAACUGAUAAAUCCUCCACUCCACCGUGAUGAUCACGACGAUGGCUGUUUAUCCUUUUAAAGUUGAUGCUGUAUCAGUGUUUUUUUUUUUUUUUGUUUGUUUGUUUUAUUUAUUUUUGGGUAAUUUACCAUGGAGCAAAGCAGGAAAAGUGGAAAUAAUGGCCUCUAAAAAUGCUGGAAAAGAGGUGUGAACGGAUCAUUUACCCUGCAGACAGGGGUACACAGAGAAGCCAAAGAGCAGCCUGAGACUGCCAUUUGAAUGGGAUCUGAGACGUAAUUUGAUCUAAAAUGGACUCCAGUCAUUCACCCUCCUCCCUCUCUCCCAUGGCAUCAACUGUAAUUCAUUAUUCCUGGCCGGCACAGGCAAUGAGCGAGGGCAAAGGACAGGAGUGGACUCUGCUCUGGUGUAAUGAA